rnacentral:rRNA from 1 species
GCAGUCGAACGCUCUCUUCGGAGGGAGUGGCGCACGGGUGAGUAACGCGUGGGAACCUACCCUGGGGUACGGAAUAACAGCGGGAAACUGCUGCUAAUACCGUAUACGCCUUUAGGGGGAAAGAUUUAUUGCCCUGGGAUGGGCCCGCGUCCGAUUAGUUAGUUGGUGGGGUAACGGCCUACCAAGGCUUCGAUCGGUAGCUGGUCUGAGAGGAUGAUCAGCCACACUGGGACUGAGACACGGCCCAGACUCCUACGGGAGGCAGCAGUGGGGAAUCUUGGACAAUGGGGGCAACCCUGAUCCAGCCAUGCCGCGUGAGUGAAGAAGGCCUUAGGGUUGUAAAGCUCUUUCAGUGGUGACGAUGAUGACGGUAGCCACAGAAGAAGCCCCGGCUAACUCCGUGCCAGCAGCCGCGGUAAUACGGAGGGGGCAAGCGUUGUUCGGAAUUACUGGGCGUAAAGGGCGCGUAGGCGGCCUGUGCAAGUUAGAGGUGAAAGCCCCGGGCUCAACCUGGGAAUUGCCUUUAAA